ensembl:lncRNA
AAACAACUGCAAUGAAGAGGGACAGUGUGAUGAUAAGGCAAGUGCAGGAUAAUUCAUUCAUAUCUUCAUCAAAAAAUUAUUAAGUGCUUACUGUGCGCCAGGCACUGUCCACGUGUCCUGACAUCACAGUAGAAAACAGACAAAGCCUGCGCCCCGGGGCUCACGCUGCUGCACGGGCGCCAGGCAACAAGCAUCGCAAAUAAGUGAAUGAUCGGCAGGGCAUUAGGAGGCAGGAACGGUGGGGAAAAGGGAAGAUGGAGCUGGGGACGGGGCCGGGACCGCGGAGGUCGUGAGGGAGCCGCUGCGAAGGGGCGGUCGAGCGGGACCUGCAGGAGGGGGCCCCACGCGGACAUCGGGCGGGGGGGGGGGGCGGGGGGCGUCUCAGGCGGGUGUCUGCCCGGUGGGCUCACGGACCCCGAGGCCGGUGAGGGAGUGAGGGGCCGCUGCGGAGAGUCAUCCCGGACCGGGCUUCUCGCCCUGCGGCCUGGGGCGCUUCCUGGAGGAAGAGGGCGUCGAGGGAAGACGCGGAGGCGACUCUGGGUGGGCUGGACCGCGGGCCGCGAAGCUCGAAGCCAAACCCGCAGAUUCAGCGGUCUCUUCCUGAGCGCCGACUCCACAGCCGGGCACGUGCUGGGUGUAAAAAUAAAUUAACAGGGUCCGUGUGGCUCACAGGUGCCUUUCCCGAAACACCCGGAGGUCACCGACCAUCGCACAGUCAGAUCGGGCGCCUCUUUCAGGGGACGGUGCUAGCAGGGGUGAGGCCGGCCUCCAAGGCCGAAUCAGCGAAGACCGGGUUUUGCAGGGCUCGCCCCGACUCGCCCUCCCCGGCCGGCCCCUCGGAAGCAGACGGGCCUGGCCUGGCUGCCACGACGCCCCGGAGCGCCCGCUGCGACCCGGCCGCGCACCCCGCGCUUGCAGAGGAGGCCCCUGCGCCCAGAAAACAACGUUCGCGGUGUUUACCUUGAUUUUGCCUUCAUUAAUCUUAUUAAGUUUCUGCAAAGCUUGUUCCGUGAGUGCCCAAUGGGCAUGUUUUCUUUACCAAAGUUCACGGCUCUAUGUUCAAACCACUAAUUUCCACGGCUUCACUCCAGUGCUUUAGUGCUCCUCAGGCCCUCCAGGAAUGAGCUCAAUUAUCAACCCCGAGUGAAUCUGAAACCCGACUCAGUCUUCGCAUGAUCUGAUGAAAGCAGCGGAGUUUUAUAAAUGUCACUAGAGAAAUUGUUGAAGCUGGGCUGCUAGAGGCCGGCCAGGCCAUCGCUUCCUCCUGCGGACUUGUGGCUCAUUAUCUUUCAAAUAUUUGAAGCAGAUCAGUGGUCAUUGUGGGUCUUAGGGUUUAAGAUUUUACCCUGAAAAGCAUUCCUUGUAAUACUUGGCAUGCACAUUCAAAAAAAAAAAAAAAAAUCAUGUCAAGAGACUGGCAGUUUUUAAAUUAAUUAUUUGAGCUUGAACAAUUCAAAAGUGUCAUCAAAUUAAAACAAGGUAAUUUGGCAGAGAGGUCAUUGCCCAUCAUGUCUUCUAAUUGCUUUUCUGUAUUUUGAAAAAACAAAAACAAAAGGUUAAAUGCUGAGAUAAUGAACUUUGAGCACAGCGUUCCACAGCAGCCCCACUGGUGAUGGAAAACAGCGCUGGUUUCCAAACAGACCCGUCAGAUCCGGCCCAGAAGGAUCUGUUUCAGGAAGUGGCAGGUCUGAGACGCCAUCUCCUUAGAACACCUGCACAGCACAGCCGCAGACUGCAGAGCUGGCCAUGGAGCAAGGAGAAGAAAAAGGGAAACACAAAGGAAACGAGUCUCGGAGAGGUGGUGAGCCAAAUGAUGAAGGCAGAGAACAAGAGCCACCAGCUCCAGCUGGACUUUGCGAUGCUUCCCUGAAGCACGAGCCACAGCAGGACAGUCUCUGAGACCCUAGACGCACCUCUUCUCUGAGUUUGUGGUGAAGCUCAGUGUUCCCCAAGUGCUGCAGCCUCUGCCGCGGUCCACAGCCCGGGUGUCUGAUGUCCUCAGGAGCACUGGAGGCAGAGCUUUUCCAGGAGCGCAUCUUGGACUAGCUGUCUCCAAGUUUUCAACUCAAGUGUCUCCCCCAUGAGGUGACAUAGUGCCGCUCUGUGCUGCUUUCCCAGGACCUGGUGCAGCACCCGGCAUGUACUGGGACCCCAGUCAGUGUGAUCCCAGCGAAGUUGCGAAGGAAUGAGCACGAGGAGAAUAACACGGCUGUUACCCACGAGGGCAUUCGUCCUAUUGUCUGCACGAACACACACACACACACAGCUUGAACCCAUGAAUGAUUGUAAUAAAAUGUAAUCACAUCCGAAUGAAAGGAGAGUUAAGCA